rnacentral:rRNA from 1 species
GACGAACGCUGGCGGCGUGCCUAAUACAUGCAAGUCGAGCGGACUGAAUGGGAGCUUGCUCUUGUUCGGCCAGCGGCGGACGGGUGAGUAACACGUGGGCAACCUGCCCGCAAGACCGGGAUAACUCCGGGAAACCGGAGCUAAUACCGGAUAACACCGAAGACCGCAUGGUCUUUGGUUGAAAGGCGGCGCAAGCUGCCACUUGCGGAUGGGCCCGCGGCGCAUUAGCUAGUUGGUGAGGUAACGGCUCACCAAGGCGACGAUGCGUAGCCGGCCUGAGAGGGUGACCGGCCACACUGGGACUGAGACACGGCCCAGACUCCUACGGGAGGCAGCAGUAGGGAAUCUUCCGCAAUGGGCGAAAGCCUGACGGAGCGACGCCGCGUGAGCGAAGAAGGCCUUCGGGUCGUAAAGCUCUGUUGUGAGGGACGAAGGAGCGCCGUUUGAAGAAGGCGGCGCGGUGACGGUACCUCACGAGGAAGCCCCGGCUAACUACGUG